AACGAACGCUGGCGGCAGGCUUAACACAUGCAAGUCGAACGCUCAUAGCAAUAUGGGAGUGGCGCACGGGUGAGUAACGCGUGGGAACGUGCCUUUCAGUUCGGAGUAACCACUGGAAACGGUGGCUAAUGCCGAAUAUUCCCUCCGGGGGAAAGAUUUAUCGCUGAAAGAUCGGCCCGCGUUAGAUUAGGUAGUUGGUGGGGUAAUGGCCUACCAAGCCUACGAUCUAUAGCUGGUCUGAGAGGAUGAUCAGCCACACUGGAACUGAGACACGGUCCAGACUCCUACGGGAGGCAGCAGUGGGGAAUAUUGGACAAUGGGCGAAAGCCUGAUCCAGCCAUGCCGCGUGAGUGAUGAAGGCCUUAGGGUUGUAAAGCUCUUUUGUCAGGGAAGAUAAUGACGGUACCUGAAGAAUAAGCACCGGCUAACUUCGUGCCAGCCGCCGCGGUAA
rnacentral:rRNA from 1 species